AAAAAAGUACUUAUAAAUUCUCAGGCUUUGAGGUAUCUGUUGAUCAGUUUAUAAGGAAUAAGACUUCAAAACUCAGUUGUUACUAGUUUUAUGCAGUUCUGUCUUGCACAUAAAUCCUAACAUGUAUUGCAUACGUCCUGCUCAGGUUUUUGUCAUUUCAUCUUUUGUUAUUACCAUUAACAAUAAAAAUAAUGGCACACACAGAAGCACAGCUAAUCUGCAGCAACACGGAGCGAGGCAGUGCUUAACACUCUUACCUUGUCUGAGUUAAACAUGGAGCUCUGCUUGCGUUUCCAAAUGUGAUUGAUGGUGUUGGUACACAGCUGGGACAGGUCAAAUUGCCUUUUUGGUGAUGGGAUGGAGCAGGUUGUUUGGAUUUGGAACUACCUCUGGCUUACGGUUGCCUAUCUCACUGCAAGAGCACGCAAAAGCUUCAAGACAUACAAUUUGCCCAAGAAAAGAGCUAAAUGCUCAUUGGCUGGUGUGUAUCCACCAUGUCUGGCAGCUAAAUCUGCUUGUAAUGGGAUGUGUGUGCCUUAUAGUGCAGCCACAAGUAGAAAACUUCCUUUCCAAAGAGAUGGAUCAGGAUGGGCAUCAGGCUCAUCAUAACUCAUCAAGGCCUUCCCUAAUUGAGGCUCACAGGUCAUGUGACUGGACCUACCCAGGUGGGAGAAGAUAAGUAGAAGGUGCCCAGAGAUGAUGAGUUCUCUAGCUGGUGUGAAGGACCAGGAGGAGGAGCAGCAGAGAUCUGAGCCUGUAGAUCUGAUAGAUCCCAAAGGCUUCGCAGGAAGAGCUCAGAGGGAAUCUCUGCAGCACGGAUGGAUCCUGCAGCACCAACUACGGCGGGUUGGCUGGGCACUCCUUGCUGCAAGUGCUGACGCUGAACAUCAUUUUCUGCUUUCUCCACUUUACGCUGAGCUGCUACAACCCAGCCCUCGGGGAAACACCAUCUGCAGCACCUGCAGAAGGAAAAGCUCUCUCCGUGGCCCCAGCAGCCCCCGUGCAAUGGUUUCCUUCCCACUCGUGCAGCCGCGGGGCCGUGCGGAUGGUCCCUGCCGUGCGGAUGGUGCGGAUGUGACUGGAAUGAGAAUCGCAGAGCUCUGUCCUCACGCGGCGCUCUGGAAAUGAAUCGCUUUGAUCUCAGGCGGAUUUCCCUGCACUAUUUUUAGAUGCGGCGAGGAUAACCGAGGGAUGUCGGUUCUGAUGCAGUCAGAAAGGAGCUUCAGAUGCAGUUUUCCUCCUGGGACGGGAGGGGAGAGCAGGAGGAGGAAAACAAGGCAAUCUCCAGCAGUGUGUCUGAGCCUUCUGGUGCAGACAGAGACAGAACGCAGAGCCCCUGAGGCUGCAGAGGGAUGUCCCCAAAUACACAACACACCACAUAAGCUGAUAAAUCCCCCUGUGCUGCUUCUUGCUGCUUUUUGUGUAACUCACCAUUCUGCAGCAGCUCAGAGCUAUGACUGAAUUCAGCUUUGUAGUGUAGUGGAUAUAUUUGUGAGGGAUUGAUAAUAGUUAUCCUUUGAUUUAAAAAUAAUUGGUGUGUCUCUCACUCUCCCUGCUUCUAGGGCAUAUGUAGCUGUCCCAGAUUGCUCAUUUUUGAUGGCAUCAAUUCCUGCUUUACAUUUUGCAUUCAAAAUAAUAAACAACUUCAACAAAACGAGAAACA
ensembl:lncRNA